rnacentral:rRNA from 1 species
GACGAACGCUGGCGGCGUGCUUAACACAUGCAAGUCGAACGGUGAAGCGCCUUCCUUUUUGGUGGGUGUGGAUGAGUGGCGAACGGGUGAGUAACACGUGAGUAACCUGCCCCCUUCUUCUGGAUAACCGCAUGAAAGUGUGGCUAAUACGGGAUAUUCUGGGUCUGUCGCAUGAUGGGUCUGGGAAAGAUAUUGUUUCGGUGGGGGAUGGGCUCGCGGCCUAUCAGCUUGUUGGUGGGGUGAUGGCCUACCAAGGCGGUGACGGGUAGCCGGCCUGAGAGGGUGGGCGGGCAGACGGGGAGGGAGCCGCGGCCCAGGCGCCAGGGGGGGGAAGCGGGGGGGAGUAGGGGAAGGUGGGGGAGGGGGUGUGACCGCGUGGCGCCGGGGGGGAUGGCGCCCCUGGGGUUGGGAGCGUCUGGCGACAGUGAAGUAAGCCGCCCUGGUUUGUGGGGGGGUAGACGGUGGGGGGAUAGGAAGCGCGGGCUAACUACGUG